rnacentral:rRNA from 1 species
UACGUAGGGGGCAAGCGUUGUCCGGAUUUAUUGGGCGUAAAGGGCGUGUAGGCGGUUAGGUAGGUCCGUUGUGAAAACUCGAGGCUCAACCUCGAGACGCCGAUGGAAACCAUCUAACUAGAGUCCGGAAGAGGAGAGUGGAAUUCCUGGUGUAGCGGUGAAAUGCGCAGAUAUCAGGAAGAACACCCGUGGCUAAGGCGGCUCUCUAGUACGGUACUGACGCUGAGACGCGAAAGCGUGGGGAGCGAACAGG